UAUCCCUACAUCGUUGAUUUCCGUCUUUUUUCUCUAUGCUUUGCUUCUUCGCACACACACAACAUGUCAUCCGCGGCCUUCGCACUGCAUCACCACACACAUGGUUGGCUGAUAUUAGGAGGUCAUGUGUGGCUCUAUUGAAUCUGUGAUUCAACAAAGAGAAAGCUAAGGAGAAAUGCACAAAUUGGAGAGUGAGCGAGGAGUAACAUCAAACUGAACUUCUAUCUGACGCGAAGCUGAAGCUCUUUCAAUAUGAAGAAUUAGCGAAAGAAGAAGAACAGCAGAAAACCAGCUGAUCACUCCGUUUGUCCUCGCAUGCGAGGUAAUGGACGCGAAUGACACAGGGGGUUGUACUGCUCCGUGCACAACAGUUCAAUUACUAGCGGGAGGAGAGAUUGAGCUCCAGAUCUGGAUCGACUUGUUACUCUCCCUUGGGUCAAUGUUUUUGCUUGCUGAGCCUAAGAAUGAUUGAGCUCAUGAUUUAGAAGAUGAGAAGCACCCGCAGUUUUGCUCCUAGCUAGUUACUUUUUCUCCUCCAAUCUCCAGGUGAGUAAUUAACAUGCUCCUAGCUAGCUGCUUUUCUUCUGCCCCUUGUGGUUAUACGACAACUCACAUGUAUAUUCAGGCACUUUUUUCUUGUUCAUCACAGAACUAAUUAGAGAGCAGUGUCAGAGUCACACGAAGAACAGAACUCAAAAAACAGACUUUGGAAUGGAAUCAAUACUUGAACGACAACGUUGACAGAGGUGGACUUCGGGAUGAUGAGCAGGUAGGCGAUAGAGGAAGAGGCACUGAUGGUGGGGUUGGUGCGGAGGCCUGGUGGUGUUGGAGGGAGAACGGCGUCUGGUGGAGGAGUUUAACCGCAACAGCGGCUGGCGGCGCCCAGGGUGGCGGGAUUCGAGAGGCCGGCGGCGCGGGGUUGGCCGCUGGAUCCAGGUGGCCGGCGGCGAGCGAGUUGGCCGCUGGAUCCAGGUGCCUGGCGACGAGCGGGUUGACUGCUGGAUCCCGGAGCCCGGCGACGUGUGGGUAGCGGUGGGAUCCUAUAGUCGGCGGAGCCUUGGUUGCCGGCGGCUUCCAGGAGCCGGCGGCGGGAUGCUGGAGGUUGGCGGCGUCACCUGGGGUUGGCGGGGAUGGCAACGCCCGGCAUUGACGGGGGCAGCAGCGCCUAGAGUUGACGGGGGCGGCGCCGAGAGGGGCACUAGCAGCGGGGGGUCCGGGCCGAGGCGGGAGUGGUGGAGCCGGGCACCGACGGCGGGGAGGUUCAUGGCGGGGUGCGGCACCGGUGGUGGGGGGUCCGUGAUAGGGCGGUGGAGGCGAGUUGGCCAGGGGUGGGGUGGGGCUCACCGGCGGUGGGAUCAGGAUCAAGGGGAGGGGGGCUUUUUUUGAGACGGUGCUGGUGCGGCAGUUCACAGAGUUGGCGAGAAACCAGAUCGCGCCUAUGAACCUGUUUGGGACUGCUCUGCUUAUUUAAAUUCAGCUCCGCUUCAGAAAACACAAGCCAAACAGGGUAGCUCCAUAAUAUGCCGCUCCACAAAAAAACUAGAAUCUGGUGUACAGCUUCCAGUUUUUUAUGAAGCUCUUCACGGGGUGCUCCAAAAAACUCUAGAAGCUGGAGUUGGGUGGAAAUUACCCACCACUGCCACCAGUAAGUGGAUACCCCUUCGUUUCUCCCCCCUCAACCAAUCAAAUAGAUUCUUUCCACCAAAUAUCUCAUUCUUGAAGCUGGAGCUAGAUGGCAGCCAAACAUUCUCCUUGAUAGUACUACAACUUCUAAAUAAAACUGCUCCAAAGUAAAUUUAGUGGAGCGAAACCGAUUUUUGUGAAGCGGAGCAGUCCCAAACAUGCCCUAUGUAGAGGCGCUGUGAUCCAAAUAGUUAUUCUAUUUAUAUCGGCGUGGUGGACUAUUCUCUUACUAUCGGGCACUAUAGAGGAGCGAUCUGUUGAGAGAGAGAGAGAAAACCCGACCCGGACCCUUGUACCUCUCCGCGCACGCGUCGCCGCCCCAACUGUCCCACCACGCCGCCGCCCCCUCUGCCGCGCCACGCUGUCGUCCCCUUGCCAUGCCGCGCCGCCGCCCCCUUUGUCUGACCGCGUUGCCGGCUUCUCUGCCCCACUACGCUGGCCCACCAGCCACUACACUCCAAGAUGUCGGCUGAGUCGCGGCGCCGGCCAUCUCCCCCUAUUCUCCCCAGAACCAGGUCCUCCCCUCUCUACCGGUGUAGCCCCACCAUGAUCUCCGCUCAGUUCAACUUCGCUCCCAGCACCCCAUCUCUUCUGGAUCCAGCCAUCGUCCCGCCCCCAUCUUUUUCGGCGUCGGCCGCCGCCUUGCCCUCAUCUCCUCCCCGACCCUCGUGGUUGUCCGGUUCGCCUCCUCCUCCCCCCAGGCCAGCGGUCUCCUUCCACUGCUCACAGCCCUCCUAGUUCCCCUUUGCCGGCUUCCUCCUGGUUCAGGUCGAUCUCGCACGAGUGGGUGGUCAGUAAGCCAUGCACCGCCGUCGGGCCCUUCUACCCCAGCUGCUACAUCCUGUGUAGGCCGCCGCUGACUUCCAUGCAGGUCGCCAAUGCCCGUGUGCAAGGUUCAAAGGCCAUGGAAUUUUGCGACCAUUUGAGCUGGGCGACGGACCUAUACAGCAUCCAACAUGUCCUCAUAUUACACCAAGCAUAACCACAAGGUGACACAUACGACUAGCAUCCACUGGUACGCGUCGGUGCUAUAUGAUACGUCUCCAACGUAUCUAUAACUUUUUAUUGUUCCAUGCUAUUAUAUUAUCUGUUUUGGAUGUUUAAUGGGCUUUAUUAUGCACUUUUAUAUUAUUUUUGGGACUAAUCUAUUAACCGGAGGCCCAGUGCAAAUUGUUGUUUUUUUGCCUAUUUUAGUAUUUCGCGAAAAAGGAAUAUCAAACGGAGUCCAAACG
rnacentral:rRNA from 1 species